GGAAGGAUCAUUAUCGUAUAACAGAGGCACCUAGGGCUGUCGCUGGCCUUUACAGGUUGUGCACGCCCAAAGUGUUCUCUUACAUCCAUCUUACCCCUUUGUGCAUCACCGACGUCAGUUCCCCAUAGCGGGGUUCUUGCGUCUUUUAUAACAAACACGCAUGUAUAGAAUGUUUUUGCAAUUAUAUGCAAUCAAUACAACUUUCAACAACGGAUCUCUUGGCUCUCGCAUCGAUGAAGAACGCAGCGAAAUGCGAUACGUAAUGUGAAUUGCAGAAUUCAGUGAAUCAUCGAAUCUUUGAACGCAUCUUGCACCCCUUGGUAUUCCGAGGGGUACACCCGUUUGAGUGUCGUGAAUACUCUCAACCUUUUUGGUUUGUUUACCUAAAAGGCUUGGACUUUGGAGGUUUUCUUUGCUGGCUUUCAUUCAAAGCCAGCUCCUCCUAAAUGAAUUAGUGGGAUCUGCUUUGCUAAUCCUUGACGUGAUAAGUAUGCUUUCUACGUUUUGGGUUUUUGCAAUGUCACCUGCUUCAAACCGUCUUUAAAUUGAAGACAAAGUUCGAGUUAGCUCGACCUCUUUGACCUUGACCUCAAAUCGGGUGAGACUACCCGCUGAACUUAAGCAUAUCAAUAAGCGGAGGAAAAGAAACUAACAAGGAUUCCCCUAGUAACUGCGAGUGAAGCGGGAAAAGCUCAAAUUUAAAAUCUGGUGGUCUUUGAUCAUCCGAGUUGUAAUUUAGAGAAGCGUCUUCCGCGCUGGACCGUGCACAAGUCUCCUGGAAUGGAGCGUCAUAGAGGGUGAGAAUCCCGUCUUUGGCAUGGAUCCCAGUGCUUUGUGAUGCGCUCUCGACGAGUCGAGUUGUUUGGGAAUGCAGCUCAAAAUGGGUGGUGAACUCCAUCUAAAGCUAAAUAUUGGCGAGAGACCGAUAGCGAACAAGUACCGUGAGGGAAAGAUGAAAAGCACUUUGGAAAGAGAGUGAAACAGUACGUGAAAUUGUUGAAAGGGAAACGCUUGAAGUCAGUCGCGUUGACCGGGACUCAGCCUUGCCUUGGCUUGGUGUAUUUCUCGGCUGACGGGUCAGCAUCAAUUUUGAUCCUCGGAUAAUGGCAAGGGAAAGGUGGCACCUUUUAGGUGUGUUAUAGUCCUCUGUCGCAUGCGAGGGUUGGGAUUGAGGAACUCAGCACGCACCUCUGGGUGUCGGGGCUUCGGCCUACGUUACGUGCUUAGGAUGCUGGCGUAAUGGCUUUAAACGACCCGUCUUGAAACACGGACCAAGGAGUCUAACAUACCCGCGAGUGUUUGGGUGGAAAACCCGUGCGCGUAAUGAAAGUAAAAGUUGGGACCUCUGUCGUGGAGGGCACCGACGCCCGGACCAGACCUUCUGUGACGGCUCUGCGGUAGAGCGUGUAUGUUGGGACCCGAAAGAUGGUGAACUAUGCCUGAAUAGGGUGAAGCCAGAGGAAACUCUGGUGGAGGCUCGUAGCGAU
rnacentral:rRNA from 1 species